ensembl:lncRNA
CUUUUAUUGUAAGAUGUGAAUAGACUUUGGGUUUGAGUUUUAUCUUGGCCCCUGAAGAUUCACAGUAUUUUUCAAGACAUUCUAACUCUUGCUGGAUCUCAGAACACCCAACCCCAAACCCGUACAAUUUCCAUUUUACCAUUAUUUUGUAUCAUAGCACAAUGAAACUGUCAGGAAAGUUGUAAGCAUAAAUAUAAUGAUACUUUGUACUUUUCAAGUGUCUUGCACUCUGAAAACCAGAAUUUCCCAAGCAUCCUUGCAAACUAGGCAGGCAAGCACUAUGUACUCCCAAUUUUAUAGCCAAGAAAACUGAAAUAUAGAGACGCGCUUAAGCCAGUGCCUUACAGUGAGUCAGAAAUAAAGCUGGGAUUUGAAGGAAAUAUCUUACACUCAACAUUGGACUUCCUGUAUUGGAAAACGUGAAACAAGAAGGAAACAUUAUAAAUUAGGGUUGUGGAAAUAUUUUAAUCACAUUUAUAUAUUUACCAAUUAAAAGCUAAUAUUUCAGAAGUAGUAUCAUUUAAGAGUAACACAAACAAAGAACGAUGUGGUUUUUUGCUUUAAUUAUUUGCUUCCAGAGCUCUCAUAAUUAAAAUAUGACUGGAAAAAACACAUACAUUUUCAUGGUUUUAGUGCAAGCGUGGAGAAAAUGAAAUGAGCUUAAGACUCUUAACUUUGUUUUAGUCAAGUGCAGAUGUCGCCUGGCAAGUUUCAUCCUAGCUCUCAUCUACCUUUUUGGAAGAGACGAGAGAAUCAGUUAAGACGAUAUCUAAUUUUCAAGAGUCUUUUAAGCUGCUCUUAAGGGUAAAGGGAAAGAGUCAUGCUUCCGAUUAAAAAACACUGUGCAGCAGUCAAACAUAGGACAUUUGCUUCAGAUUCUGGGAUCUCAUAAAAGGUGAACCUGAGCAGGAGCUUGCUUGGCUGACUGGCUCUUUACUCGUCCAGUGAAGAAACUGAUGGAGAACUGAAGGAGGGUGGCGAAGUCUGGUGGCGGUGAGGAGAAGGGAUCAGGAAUAAGGAACUUGGUCUGGCAUUGGCUCUGAAGUAGGGUCAGACCCAGAGAGGUGUGGAAACACCUACCCAACCCAUGCAGUCCACACCUGUUACCCAGCUGUCACUAGUGAGUGGCCGGGCUGCACACAUGGAGUUCUAUGCCUCCUUGUAACCCACAGACCCCAGCACCAAGCUGUGUUGAUUUUGUGGAAGGAAAAUUGGAUUUGAGAUCAGGUGACCGGCAUCUAGGUCCUGUGCAGGCUGAGUGGCCUUGAAGGGGAGCCAUUUGAUCAUUUUGGAACCCCAGUUGGCCUUCUCUACAAGAGGGAUAACGUUAACAUCUCACAGAAUUGUUGCUUCAACUCAGCGAGACACAGAUCUGAGGGAAGUGCUCUGCAACUACCAAGUAUGGACAGAAACAUUUGUUACUGUUACAUCAACAAAUGAUUCUCUGUGUCACUCCAUGAGCGGUGCCCCUGGUCCUUCCCUCCCUUUUUCUUUAGUACACGAUUCCUGAGAGUGCUAACAAGUUACACAAUUUGUCCCGGGGUCAAGGAGUCUGCGUGUGCCUGGACCUCUGCCAUCCCCUAGCCUGGUGCUCAGAGACAGGACCUGUGAUUAGUGCAAUGCUCUGCUGUCACCGUGAAGUUCUUAAUAAUUUUCAAGUAAGGGACUUACAUUUUUAUUUUGUCCUAAGCCCUACCAAUGAGGUGCUGCCAGUCGUGUUUUUCUAACUUACAUAUAUGCCUGACCAAAAAGUUCCUUGGAAUCUGCUUCAUUCCUAAUCAUCUGCUUUGAGUAUCUCUAGGUAGCAAGGAGUUAUAAAUGAAUGCUUUGAUGGAAAUAGUCUAUAUUUGACAGUUUGUGCGUGUGUUUUCUAGACAAAGCAGAAUACCAAAUUGUGACCCAGUGAUGGAUUCUGCCUAGAUGAUCUAGAUUCCAUAGUUCCAGAGGAAAUAGGUUUUAUAUUUCUGUCCUGCUGCCUGCCUGGCACAUGGAGGUACUGAAGAGCAGGUGGUAGAAGGUAGCAGUCUGCUCUGAGAAACAUUCUCUUCGGAUGACAAAAUCAUCCUCAUGGGGUGAUUUAUGGCUUUUAUUUUCCUUAUUGUGGCUUAGAGUGGCUAAAGUUUUUUGACUUUCAAAAUACCAGUUGGAGCAGCUUUCUUCAAGUUCUUUGCAUGAAUCCCAUUAAAACCCUGUCUCUCUAGGGAAAUAAAAAGCAAAUAUAUUUUACGUUUUGUUCCCAAUCAUAACAUAGUCCAAUCUGAUUUUCUUAUUAAGGGCAGUCAGGCUGACUGCUGAGUAUUUCAUUUGGUAAAAAAAAAAAAAAAAGAAAGUCAAAAAAUUUUAAAGAACAUAUAACUAGUUUUCAACUAUAAGUCUAGUUUGUUGAUCUCAGAUGGGGUGGUAGGCACUUCUGCAGGAGGAGAGAGAUAGUAGCAAACAGGAAUAGAGACUGUGUAUUACUUAUAUCUCGCUCUGCAUAAAAUUUUUCUCUAAAACAUGUCAGUAUAAGACAAUAUUUAUUUUUCCACAGUUUCUGAAGAUCGGGAAACUGGGAGCAACUUCAUGAAGUUCAUCUGACUCAAGGUCUCCCAUGAAGCUGCAGGCAAGGCGUUGGCUGGGGCUGGAAGAUCUGCUUCCAAGAAGGCUUCCUCUCGGGGCUAUUGGCUGGAGGCCUCAGUUCUUCACUGUGUGAGCCUCUUCACUGGGCUGCUUGGUGUCCUUAAGACACGGCCACUGACUUCCACCCAAGCAAGUGAUCCAAGAGAAAGCAAGACAGAGGCCACAAUGACUUAUAAUCCAGCCUCCAAAGCAACAUCCUGUCCCUCCUCUUGUAUUCUAUUCAUUACACAAACCGUCUUAGCUCAUUCUGGCUGUAAUAACAAAAUGCCAUAGAUUGAGUGGGUUAGAAACAACAGAAAUUUCUCUCUCACACUUCUGGAAGCUAGAAACCCAAGAUCGAUGCCAGCAUGGCUACCACAUGGUUUUGGGUAAGGUUCUCUUCUGAGUUCACUGCCAGUAUCUUUGUCACUGUCCUCAAGUGAUAGAAGAGUUAAGGAAUUUCUAUGGGAUUUCUUUUAUAAAAACAUGAACCCCAUUUUUGAGUGGUCCAUCCCCUUAACUUAGGCAUCUCCCAAAGGCCCCACACAUCCUAACACCAUCACAUCGGCUUUAAGAUUUCAGUGUAUGAAUUUUGCAGGGACACGGACUUUCAGAUGACAGCACAGACCAAUCCUGGUACAGUGUGGGAGGGGGCUAUAGAAGGCUGUGACUCUCUGGAGGUGGGAGUGUCCCCUAGGGCUGUCUUGGAGGUUGGCUGCCACAGAGUUGAUGGGUAAGCAUUAAUCUUUCCUCUGACUUCCACCUGGAUUCUGCUGCAAAAAAGGGGGGUGGCACUUCCAAAGUUUGGCUCCUCAGAAGCCCUCCAUAGCAGUCUGAACGCAUGUAAAAUAGGAGUCAGGCUUAAUUUUCCACACCAGUCAAUAUGUUGGUACUAGAUAUGGAAUCAGCAGGUUGCAUCUUAUAACCUUGGAAGAACAAGCAUCUGUGUAAAUGAGGCCCUUUGAAGUGGCCCCUUUACCACAUCCUCAGUGCUGUGUUAACUGCCUCCAGGUGGAGGCAUGGGUUGUCUUAGAGAAAGAUAAGAAAACAAUAUGGUGUGAUGAAACAUCAAGCUGCACGUAGCGCGAUUCAGACUAAAUACUGUAAGACGGAGGGCUCCCUGCUCAUUUGCAAGAAUGCAGACUUCCUGAAGGCAUACAUUUGUCCGGAGAACUGAAUAAAGAGAUGAUGUGGAGAGAGAAAAGGGAUUUGGGGAAGAUGGGGGGGAGUCCUGAGCAGGGGCAGGGGUGGGGGCGUAACAGGCAGAUGGGCAAGCCUCAGAGGCUUGAGGACUCCACCCUCAGGGAAAGGCUUGGAGGGUCCCACUCUCCUUUUACACGAGGAAGAUAGAAGGGGGCAGAAUUAUCAGCAGAGGGUGAGGAGAAAGCCAUGGACAUUUAUCACACAUCUACCAGAUACAGUGCACUUUCCAUGUGAUGAUUUAACCUCCAAACGAGGGGGGGAGGUGUGUGUCGUGUUCUCCUCUUUAUAGAAGUGGGAUUGAACCCAGGGUUGUUUGCAUCCAUCCAAAGCACACUGUUUUCAUAAGACACCAACCCCAUAGGGAUGGAUCAGCUGGAACCUGUGAAAAACAGUCAGGACUCCCUGGGGACUCCACCUGGGCGGAGAGAAGGAGAGGAUGCUGUGUCCUCGGCAUAGAGAUCUUGAGCAAACUUCCUUCUUCUGUCCACCACGCCGGAAGGCAGACUUUGACCUUUCCAGGGACUUGACACAGGCACUGCUGGCCCCAUCUCCACCCGGCCUCCCGCUGUGCAUGCACACCCCGUGUGGACCAGACCCAGGUGUGCCCUGCAGAGGCAGAGGGAGAAGAGUGUACUUCACACCCAUUUCAAAAUGGAAGUGUUUGCUUUAGAGCACCUUCAGUUUAAAAGACAAUUUCUCAUCUGGAGAUGAGAGUGGACCUUGAAAGAAGAGGUAACAAUUAUGUGGGCCAGGAAGGUGAAUGGUAGGAUCAGCCCACAGUGCGGAACAUGAGGUAGAAGAGGCAUCUGGUGCUCUGGCUGGUGCAGAAGUCAGGAGAGCCAGGUUGAAUUCUGGCUCCACGUCUAAGUAGAUUUGUGACCGAGAGUGACAUUAAGUAAUGUCAGCUCGAGGUCUCACCUGUGAUACGUGGGUGGUGACGCCUACCUCACUGGAAUAGGAUUUCAAAGGAGGUAAUUUUAAUUACUACUAUGGGUAUCAUGUAAUACAUGCUAAAAAGUUGUAGCUACUUUCAUUAAAGUACAUUAUUUCUUCCACUGUAAGAUUUACCAUUCCAACUAUGGUCAGCUUUGGCUAAAAAGAAAACUUACUUGCUUUCUUAGGUAAAUACCUAUUAAUGGUGGGACGUUUACCUACGAAUGCAGGCUGUGUGUUCUGUGUUCUUAGUUAUGCUACAUGCAUGAGGUGCAGGUGGGGAAGCAGCUUUAGGGUAGGCGGAUGCUAUGACUAUUCCCCAGAGUUGGGGGAGAGAACCAAGAAUGCUUAAAAAUGCGAUGACCUUCUGCUUAGAGUGAUGGAGGAAAAUGGGGCCAAUGAUAAUGUGGGGGGCUUAGUGUGGACACAGGGCAAAGUGAAGCAAAGGCAAGUAGUUUGUCAAGAAUAUGUCUUGCCCAUUAGCGUCAGGGAUCCACCUCACACGUGUGUCAGUGGCCGAGGGAGGUUGGAACAGGGGAUUCCUAAAACCCAGCCACACGCUUCCUCCUCCUGCACUGAGCCACCUUGGGAACGCAGAGGCUACACCUCUCUUCUGAUGUUUCAUGGUUAUUGAGAGUUUAGCUGUAGCACAGCCUGCAUAUGUUUAGUGCCUGAUGGGAGAAAGUGAAUUAAUUAAAGUCUUCUCAUGCUGUUAUUUGUCAGCGUCUCUACAAUAUUCAUUGUAAGGCUAAGUUAUCCAAGGGACAUCAAAACUUUCCUCAGUGGAGCACCAGCGUCAGGGAGAAAGAGAAAAAAGUUCAAGAGGUUAGAGUUUUGGAGGACAGGAUGGCUCAGCCUGAGAGCUUUGAGAGCCUUGCUUCUUGAAGCAAGUUGGCGAGUGUGUGUGUGUGUUGGAUGCAUGUUCAGUCUACCCAAAGGAAUUCUGAAUAGCUUGGCUAUUGCUGUAGAUACAGAAUAAAGGCCUUUUUCUUUGACAGAUUGUAAAGAUGGUUAAAAAAAACCCAACAAACAAAAAAAACCAACACAAGCUUCCUGAGGAAGAAGGAUGGGACAUUAGUCUCAAAAUCACUUUGUAAUUAUAUUUCUGUGUGUUUUAGACAUUUGGGCUUAAGCUAAAUGUAGCAAAAAUAUAUGGCGUAUGCUAGGAUGUAGGUUUAGUUUUUAAUCAAUGAAAAUUUGCAUACAGCAUCACAGAAGGUGGGCUGUUAUUCAUUUGACUUAAGAACACAUGACAUCAAGAAAUAUUCCCAAGGAUGGUGAAGGAGGGGUACCUGAGUUGAUCGCUCUUCUAGUGUGUGAUUUUGUAGGCCAGGUAAAGACAAUUUCCUGCACAAUUCUCCAAAUCCAUAACUGUUCCUUACAUUACUCAUUUUGCAGAUAUUUGGGAGGAAAAUACAGCAGAGAGAAAGCCCAGUGCCGUGCUCAGCUAGUGUGAGAGUGUGUAUUCACUUCUCUAGUCUGCAUCACUCCUAUGUUACACUCUCUGGGACUACAAAAGGCUUAAACAAACAAACAAACAAACAAAUGGGAAUUAAAGGCAGGGAAUUUACCCCUUGGCCUACUCACUGUACGCAAACCAUCCUAUAAGUCAAAUCACAAAAAGCUUUGUGCAGCCAGCAAUUUCAUUUACCUGAGUAUAUAAAUCAACCCCUCACCUCUUUACCUUAUCUUGCCAGAGAAAUAGGGACUGGAUGGUAUCCAAAUAUUUUAGCAUGUUUGCUUGCUUCCCUGUACUUUACACUCAGAGUAAAGAUAAGCUCUGAUCAUUCUUUUUCAAUUUUUAAUCCAAAGCUGAUUAUAAGUCCAGAAUGCUUUCAAAAUACAAAGAAAAGGAAUGUAUGUUAUAUGUGGAUUAAAUAGGAGAUCCCAGGAGAAUUCUAGAAACAUUUUGGAGGUUGGGAAAGUUGAGAAAAGACUAUAUAUUUACUCAUAGGACUUUUUAUAGCCACCCUACAAGACAUUUCAAAUAUUUCCCUUCAAAACAAGAACAUAUGCCUAAUACAUUCCAUCAUGAUGUAUACAGGUGAGGUUCAGGAGGCAUGUGUGUUAAGUAAUAGCCAAAUCAGUGGAGGGUCCCUUAGGACAUUGACCCUUGUAAAUUCUAGUUCUGCUGGCAAUGGCUGUCUCUCCUUAUAUAGCUGACUGUACAUGUGUGCAGGUUCUGCAUCCACUGAUUCAAAAAACCAUGGACUAAAAAUAUUCUGGGAAAAAAAUUCUAGAAAUUUUCAAAAAGCAAAGCUUGAAUUUGUAGCUCUGGCAACUAUUUACACAACAUUUACAUUGUAUUUACAACUAUUCACACAGCAUUUACAUUAGGUAUUAUAAGCAACCUAGAGAUGAUUUAAAGUACUUGGGAGGAUGGGCAUAGGUUAUAUGCAAAUACUAUGCCAUAUUAUAGAAGGGACUUGAGCAUCCUCUGAUUUGGUACCUGCAGGGAUCCUGGAAUCAAGGUCCCAGCAGUUACUGGGGACAGAUGACUGUAGCUGGUCAUGGCUGAUGGCCAAGGCCCUGGGGUAUAUAGGAUUUCUCUCUACUUCUGUGUCCUGGAACUUCUUUCGUGCUCCUGAUCGUAGGGCAAUUCAGUAGGAAUGGUUCGGUCUUAAUUCUGGGAUGUGCACUUGCCACUGGAAUUCUCCACCACAGCUGACCUCUUCCUGGAUUAGGAAUCUCCCCUACACUUUUGCUUCUGGCACAGGGCUUGGCAAACUGCAGUUCAUGCACCCAGUCUUAGUCUGUGGGCUAGGAAUGUUUUUUAUAUUCCUAAAUAAUUUCCCAGAGUUAGAAGAAUAGUAACAUUUUAUGACAAGAAAAUCUCAUCAAACUGACAUUUUGGUGUCUCUAAAUCAAGUUUUGUUUGAAUGUAGCCACUUACUCAUUUUAUAGUCAGUGGCUGCAUUCACAUUAUAAUGGUAGCGUUAUGUAGUUGCAACUUAACCUGCCUGCCUGGCCAGCAAAGCCUAGAGUAUUUAGUAUCCAGCCCUUUACAGAGAAAGUUUGUCAAAUUCAGAUCUAGUAUAAUGUAGCAUGCUGGUUUUGGAAUUUAGAAAUAGAAUCACAGAAGUUGAAAGUUGAAAAAGUAUUUCAAAAGCGUCCUUGGCCAAAGUCAACCAUUAUUUUUUUUAUGCAGUUAUUCUCUUCUUAGGAAUAGUUACUUAAAAGGUAAUCCUCACAUCCAUUUAUUUGUCCUAGUUCUAUGCUGAGCAUGGCUGGCGGUUGGCACAUAAUAGGAACUUAAAAAUAUUUAUUUAACACUUAGCAUUUUCUAUGUGCUCUAAAUACAAGUAAUUAACAGAACACUAUGAAGUAAGUGCUGUAAUUAUCUUUACAGAGGAAGCUACUGAGGUUCAGGGAGGUUAAUUAAAUUUCCCAAGAACACAUAGCUUGUAAGAGGCAAAGUUGAGAUGGGACCUCAGUCUGUCUCUGAUGUCUAGGUUCUCUGCUGCUCCAUUUCCUGAAGAGAAAAUGAAUAAACAUUUGAUAGUUGCCUUCUCUGUGUCAGUGUCUCAAAUAGGUAAAGGCAGCUACCAAAUUCCUUAAAAUAUAUGUAUACAUAUAUAUUUUUUUGAGUAUAUAAUUUUGAGUAUAUAAAAGUUCGAGCCAUAUAAUGCUGCAGUAUGAGAAACAAGGGAGAAUAUAUUCGUGCUGCGUUUUGUUUUUCCUACAUAAUUUAAAAAUUUUCUGGGGUUAAUUAAAAGGUCUAAAAUCCAUUUAUAAGGAGAUGUUGAAGAAUCUAGGGACAUCUCACCUGGGGAAGGGAACUCUCAUUGGGAAAAUGGUGAGAGCAAUUCUAGGCUUUAUAUGACAUUCAUGAAAUCCAGAGAAAUAAGAGCAUUAUUCCCAGUGUCUUAAGAAGAGCAAACUGACUUAUUGUCUAGGAGCCUUCAGAAAACCCCCCUGUGUUAGUCAGUGUCUCCAAGAGCAGAAAUCAAGGUAGGAUCAUAUACACUGAGCUUUUAUAAGAGAAAUGCAACUCUUGAAAGGAAAUAUAGAGCUGGGAAGGCUAGAAGAACUUUCAGACCUUGAGGGAAGGUUCCUGUGCUGUGAAAGAAAAAGGAACCAUCAAAGCAAAGCCUUAGGGGAUCCUUUAGCCAAAGUUAGCUGACAAAGGCCAUCAGUGUCUCCCAGGAACCAAUCUUAGUACCCUCUGGAUCCAUGAACACGGGGAUAGAUUUUAAAGUGUGGCACCUGAAGCCCUUGGUCAAUUAUGCUCCUGUGAUAGGAGGUAUGUGAAAUGCAAUCCCAUGGCUGCUAUGACUGUCCUCACUCUUUACUGGUCCAUUGUUAAAACAAUUUUUGUGUCAGAGGAUUGAGUCCCCUGAUUGGCUGAGGCCUGAAUUCUUGAACCAAUCACCCUGGCAUGGGGAUGGGAUUUCCCACAGGCUCAUUAGGUCCUCUGAGUCAGCUUCCCCUCCAGCACCAGGGUUGUGGGAGGAGGGAUCAAAACCUAAAUAAAAAUCUAUGUAUCUCUAGGAUGGGGGAAGGGGGAUAACAUCUUCUACGUCUUUGAGAUUCUAAUCCCAAUCUGAUACC